rnacentral:rRNA from 1 species
CCUACGGGAGGCAGCAGUAAGGAAUAUUGGUCAAUGGACGAAAGUCUGAACCAGCCAUGCCGCGUGAAGGAUUAAGGCCCUCUGGGUUGUAAACUUCUUUUAUCUGGGACGAAAAAAGGGUAUUCUUACUCACUUGACGGUACCAGAGGAAUAAGCACCGGCUAACUCCGUGCCAGCAGCCGCGGUAAUACGGAGGGUGCAAGCGUUAUCCGGAUUUACUGGGUUUAAAGGGUGCGUAGGUGGGUUUGUAAGUCAGUGGUGAAAUCUCCGAGCUUAACUCGGAAACUGCCAUUGAUACUAUAGAUCUUGAAUUAUCUGGAGGUAAGCGGAAUAUGUCAUGUAGCGGUGAAAUGCUUAGAUAUGACAUAGAACACCAAUUGCGAAGGCAGCUUACUACGGAUAUAUUGACACUGAGGCACGAAAGCGUGGGGAUCAAACAGGAUUAGAUACCCUGGUAGUCCACGACCUAACGACUAGAUACUACGACANACANCGAUACACUGUUGUGU